rnacentral:rRNA from 1 species
AUACGGAGGGUGCAAGCGUUAAUCGGAAUUACUGGGCGUAAAGAGUACGUAGGUGGUUUGUUAAGUCAGAUGUGAAAGCCCAGGGCUCAACCUUGGAACUGCAUUUGAAACUGGCAAACUAGAGUAUGGUAGAGGGGGGUAGAAUUUCUAGUGUAGCGGUGAAAUGCGUAGAUAUUAGAAGGAAUACCAGUGGCGAAGGCGGCCCCCUGGACCAAUACUGACACUGAGGUACGAAAGCGUGGGUAGCGAACAGGAUUAGAAACCCCAGUAGUCC